GAUGAACGCUAGCUACAGGCUUAACACAUGCAAGUCGAGGGGCAGCGCAGUGUAGCAAUACAUGGGCGGCGACCGGCGCACGGGUGCGUAACGCGUAUCCAACUUUCCGAUACUCUUGGAUAGCCUUCCGAAAGGGAGAUUAAUACCAAGAUGGUGUUUUACUUUCGCAUGUCAUUGAAACUAAAGAUUUAUCGGUAUCGGAUAGGGAUGCGUGACAUUAGGUAGAUGGCGGGGUAACGGCCCACCAUGCCCACGAUGUCUAGGGGUUCUGAGAGGAAGGUCCCCCACACUGGAACUGAGACACGGUCCAGACUCCUACGGGAGGCAGCAGUGAGGAAUAUUGGUCAAUGGCCGGAAGGCUGAACCAGCCAAGUAGCGUGAAGGAUGAAGGUUCUAUGGAUUGUAAACUUCUUUUAUACGGGAAUAAAACCUCCCACGUGUGGGAGCUUGUAUGUACCGUAUGAAUAAGCAUCGGCUAACUCCGUG
rnacentral:rRNA from 1 species